rnacentral:misc_RNA from 1 species
AACGCACCUUGCGCUCCUUGGUAUUCCGAGGAGCAUGCCUGUUUGAGUGUCAUUAAUAUAUCAAUCUCUUCAGCUUUUGCUUGUUGAGUAUUGGAUGUGGGGGUAUAUUGUUUGUUGGCCUUUUCUUCUGAGGUCAGCUCCCCUGAAAUGUAUUAGCGGAACAAUUUGUUGACCGUUCAUUGGUGUGAUAAAACUAUCUACGCUAUUGACGUGAAGCAGGUUCAGCUUCUAACAGUCCAUUGACUUGGACAACUCUUCAUUAAUGUGACCUCAAAUCAGGUAGGACUACCCGCUGAACUUAA